GACGAACGCUGGCGGCGUGCUUAACACAUGCAAGUCGAACGAGAACGGAUUAUAGCUUGCUAUAAUUGUCAGCUAAGUGGCGCACGGGUGAGUAAUGUAUAGGUAAUAUGCCUCUUACUAAGGGAUAACAAUUGGAAACGAUUGCUAAUACCUUAUAUUCCUUUUUAUCAAAAGAUGAAAAGGGAAAGAUUUAUUGGUAAGAGAUUAGCCUGUAUUGUAUCAGUUAGUUGGUGGGGUAAUGGCCUACCAAGACGAUGACGCAUAACUGAUUUGAGAGGAUGAUCAGUCACACUGGAACUGAGGCACGGUCCAGACUCCUACGGGAGGCAGCAGUGGGGAAUAUUGCACAAUGGACGAAAGUCUGAUGCAGCAACGCCGCGUGGAGGAUGACACAUUUCGGUGCGUAAACUCCUUUUAUAUAAGAAGAUAAUGACGGUAUUAUAUGAAUAAGCACCGGCUAACUCCGUGCCAGCCGCCGCGGUAA
rnacentral:rRNA from 1 species